ensembl:lncRNA
CCGGCCGCCGGCUGAGCUGCGGUUCGCAUCCCGCGUCCCGCGUCGGCGGCGCUCUGAGGCCUGCGGAGGUUGUUAGCCCUCCGAGUCCGAGGCACCUAAACCACUGACAGCAUGCCGAGCACCUCCGAAAAGGCCCUUCCCGAACAGCAUCCGCCAUGAGAACAUUGCCAGGUGUGCUGCCCUUGGCUGCGGAGCCUUCUGCUGGUGGAAGCUUCUCCACCUCCGCCCGAGCCGGCUGCAGGAGCGGUGGGCCAGAGAGGCCUGCCCUGAACUUCAGGAGAAGCUUCAGGAAGCCUCCAGAAGAGAUGUGGAGGACACAAGGGGAAAGUGUUCAUCAUGUCUUAAUAUGUACCCAGAAGGUGGAUACUAAGGGUGGAGUGAUUAGUGUUAAAGAUGUCAAAUAUCACAGUUACGUUAGAAAGGUAGAGCAAUGGCAAGUAAACCUGAACGCAUAUCCAAGAUGAUGAGACCUGCUGCUUUAUCCAUGCCUGCAAAUGAUUACAUCACCUAGUGCACCAGAGUUACGGGUCUGAAACAGGGAUGUGCCUCUUACAGGUGACAGGUGAACAAAUCACAGGUCUUGAGUUUCUCUACCCUGCCUCUCUUGGUAACGUCAUCUCCAGUACCAUCUGCUACCUACCAGACAAACAGACCAACCACAUAAUGAGGUACCAGCUUCCACCCAGCUACCGUGACUAAAUCAGAACAAAAGACUCAACGCCUCCACGCCUCCUUCAACAAAGGAACACAAGUCUAAGCUGUCUUUGCUAAUUGCUGGGUUUCAGGUUCUCUGUUACAGAUUUUAAGUGAGCUACAAACUUCCAUCAAAUACUUAUAGCUGUUGGAUAAAGGUACUAAGAAUAAAAGAUAAAUGGAAGCGAAAGGCAAUGAUGUUGUUCUCCUAAAAUGUGAGACAGUUUGCUUCUUGUCAGCAAGUGGAGCUCAGCUCAGCUUCAUCUCCCUGAGCUGCUGGAGGCAGACUAGCGUGCUACAGAUUCACUUGCUCGAUAGGCUGACUUGAAACAAUUCUGGGAAAUUAUUGCUCUAUUCAUAUAUCACUUUUUGCACUUCCUAUAUACUAAAUGAGGCACUUUGGGUGAUUUUAAAGUGAAAGAAAAUAAUGAAAUAAGCUUAUUAAGAAACACCAUUCAGUUUAAAAAAAAGACUCUCCUUGCCACAGAUGCUGUCCCCAAACUGUAAAUGAGCAUAUUUAUAAAUAUGUUUUUAGUAUUCCAGGGUAAGAAACAUUUAAUAUCAGUUUCUCUGUCUAAAUGAUUGCUAUCCCUACCCAGUUAGUGCAGAAAUGGUGUAUGAGUCACAGGAAAUUUAAGUGGUUUCUCUCAGGAAAAUUUGGUGGUAUGCAUUUUUUUGAUGCACGUAGAGCUGUUGAAUGAAUAAUUGGCAACCUAUUUAGUGUCCCUUGCUUUAAAGCUGUCUAGUACAUUUGCUGUAUAAAAAAUGUCUUUCAAAGCUGUUAAAUAUGUAACAAAAAGAGGUUGCUAUCACCAUUCUGACAUGAACAAAGCCAUACAGCGAGCUGCCUGAGGUACUUCCAGCAUGGUACUAAUUACAAAUACAAUAAAAAAUGAAAAUUUGCAAAGUUCUCAAAUUCCAUUUCUGUGCAGCAUCAUCUGAUUAAUGUUAUAUAAAAACAUACAGUAAAAACAUCAGUCUAGGAAUUAGCCAUUAAAUAUUACCUAAGCCAGGCACUGUGGGGGGAGUGGGGAAUCUGUUGGAUCUGUAAUUUCACCGUUUACCCCUGACUGAAUAAGAUCUCUAGCUGUCUCUGAAGCAAACCGAGCUUAAAACAGCAACACGCUUUCAAGAAGAUGAUUGGCUAAGAUUGGGUUUUAUUUUGAUUUGAAAAACUGUCAAUCAUAGAUAAAAAAGACCAAGUAAUAUCAUUAUAUAAUAUGAACUAAUUAUAUUUGUCUGAUAAACCAAGAAUACACGGGAAAAAUAAAUCAUAAAGUUUAAAAGGAAGAUAUUCAUAAUGUUUUGCCCAGAUGUUGUGUAGAAAUUGUUUGGUGCUGGUACAAGCAGUAGAUUUCAGAUAAAUAUACAAGCAUCUAUCUGUAUGUGCAAGAGAGAAAUAAGAUACCCAUAAUCUUGAAUAUUUCAGUUUAUAUAGCCACAGCUAUUUAAACAAUUCCAAAACUGCCUCUACGGGUGUUAGAGAGGGAGGGAAAUCUUCAGCCACAUGAUCUUCUCUCCAGAGUCCUGUUAAAUCCACUGAACUUAAAACAGAACAAGAAGUGUGAAAUAUGGGUUUGAACAUGUUAUGUCAGAAAUGUAAAGGUUGGAAGCCUUUUUAGUAACUGAUAUUAAUAUUGUAUUAAAUGUUAUGAAAAGGUAGGUGUUGGAGAGAAGGGCUGGGCUCAUGUGCAAUUUUGUCAAGGUUUUUAUCUGUGAUUAUGAUUCCAGAUGUAUCUAUUCCCUGAGGAGAAAAAUGAAGUAAAGUUGGCAUGUGACAUGUGUUUUAAGGUGUUUGGCACAGUUUUCCAAAGUGAUGACAAAAUGUUCAUUUUUAUUACAGUGAAUUGGUAAAGAAAAUAUGAUUCUGAAGGUCAGUGGCUGUAUAUCCAAGUUUUUUUGGAGAAUAUAGAUUUUUGGUACUGUGUUUAGAUUUGAUUGCCUGACUUGAGAUUCUACCAUAGUAAACAGUAGAAUAUUUUUACACAAUAUGAAUUGUUUAUUUUUAGUCAUUUGGUAAAAUUCAUGCAAAGAAAAUGGUAAAGAUUGCAAAAAUGUCUCUUUUUUUGAAUCUGGCAGUGUAGCUGCUUCUUAAUAAUUUAUUUUUAAUUUACUUUAUACAGACAGUACACAGCUUGAGCUCACGUACCUGCAAUUUGUAGCAAAACAUUUCUUAGAGUAAGUAUAUGGACUUUUUUUUUUUUUUUAACAAAGCAGCGAAGUAAUGAAAAUUAUUUUGUCUAAAUGCACAUCAAGACUUCAGAUGAGAAAGUUCCCUGCCAUUACCCAGAUCCCCUUCUCUUCCCUCCAAACCCCUAUGAGUGUAAUAGUAUCAGUAAUUCCAUGCUGACAGCAGGGCACCCAAGGCUACAUUACCAGGCAAACACUCACUCAUAAACAUUUUACAAGUUCAAUACCAGCCAAUCCUGGAGCUUUGGGAGGCUGCCCUGAUUGGGUACAUCAUGGAUUUGGUAAACACAGCUACAUAGCAAAAAUAAGGUUUGUAGAUAAAGAGUCUGACAGUAUUGCCCCUGCUGAAUAAUCAGAGACUAAGAAUAUGAUUAUUUCCAUAUUUCAUAAGUAAACUUCCACAGCUCUGCGUCCAUCUGCAAAUAUUCAGAGUGAUGUGCUCAAUGCAUUCCUUUCUGUUCUACAACCACAUUUCUUCGUGAAUUUAACCACAUCAGAAAGCACUUCAGAUUUCUAACACAAAUAUUAGACGCAUUUAAUGUAAGGAAGCUUCCUUUAUUGGAGGUGAUUGGGAACAUUUUGUAUUUUAUAGGUAUAUUUAAGAGGUUAGCAGUAGGGGGGAAUCGUCUGUGGAAAAUCUGUCUACAGCUAAAAUUUUUAGAUGCAGAAGUGUUGCUGAAAUGCCUAAUACAUACACACACUUUUAUUAAGUAACUCACAAGAGUAUCCUCUUAGCUACCAGAUACUUUUUUUUUUUUUUUAAGUCGAAUAACAUUACUUGCAGUGGUAUAUACUUCUUUUUAUUCUUCUGUGUGCAAUUAGAAGGAGAUUUUCAUUCUCAAGGGCUUUAUUUUUUAUCUACAAUCUCGUUUUCUUUUGUAUAAUCUUCUGCAACUUUAUUUUAUCUUCAGUGCAUGAACAAGAAGCAUGAAGCCACUCAUCUGCUAGUAAAUUAUUGAUAAAGAUUUACAAGUUUGCACAGAUUAAUUUUACAUGGGGUAAUUUUUCUCCACUAUAAAAUAGCAAUAAUUAAAGAAUGACAAAGGUUUGAGUAUUUUUUAAUACAGUUUAGAAGUUCAUAUUUGAAGUCAUUUUUAUAUUUUAGAUUUAGAAUCCUAACUAUACUUCAGUAUGAGAAAAAUAAUAGGGAGUGUUUAAAAAUUAGUACUCUGGUAUUUUUCAGAUAUGGAAAUGUGCCUGCCUAAUGAAGGCAGAAGAUGCUCACUAGAUUUAUUUUAAAGGAAUACUUUUACAUAUUCAUAAAUUAAGAUGGCAGUUUUCAAUGAAAUACUUAUUACUAUUUUAUCUGUUAUUUGCAAGAUACCUGACCAUUUAAUAUUUGUCCUUUAAUUUUUUUUCUGAGCUGAUCUAAUUGCACCUCUCUAUUUUGCACUUAUUUCUCUUUGCAAACACUACAUUAUUCACUCUCUCCUGUGCUUAUUAAACAGUGCCACCUGCACCAAAUGAAACAAAGCUUCUCCAUCAAUCUAUCCCAGCUAAAGCACCCUGACUAUAUAUUAUAAUUAAUUGAAGCUCAAUUGAACACUUGAGUCUGAACUAGAUACAGUAACCUAGAAAAAAAAUCAUUAAAAAAAUUAGGAUGUACUUUAAAGAAAUCCUUUAAAUGAAAAUGUUCGCUCAAAACUGAGAACCUAACCUUGUACCAAGCACUCUUCAUCAUCUCCACACAGUACCUCAAGUAGCAAUUAGCAGGUCCUUUAAUUAAUUAACUAUUCCCUGUACAUCACAGGGAUUUUUGUGGCACUAACGUCAUCCUUCAUAAGUGAAUACCAAAUCCAGUCAAUAUUUUGUCACUAGCAAUCCUUAUCUGGACUACCUGAAUGCCCACUGCAUGUCUCCGAAAAAAUGAUCUGAAAACACAGAAAGCAGCAUUUAUGAAGCUUAACUUGGGACUCAACGUUUCUCAAGACCCUAAUUUAGAAUGAUUUAUACAGACUCUACUAACUCAGUGAAGAUAUGUGGCGAUUUCUGCAAUGGAAAGAAUCGAGAACAAUUUCAAAGCUACAAACUGAAGCACCACGUGAUCUCCCACAAAGCAGAAGUUCUUCAGAAAGCUCAGUGCUUCAUGGUUUCUGUAGUUCUUCAGUUGGGCUUCAGGUUGAAUUGUGUUUUUUUAAUCUAUAUUCUGUGCUCUCAAAGAAAUAUACUGGCCAGCUAGAUCAAUAAUUCUUUGACCUGAGCUUUAUCACUAGCUAUAGGUAUUGAGCGAUGUGAGAAGGAGCAUAGACUUUUUCAACACUCCAAAAUGAAAGCUAAAGAAAAGAACAAUUUUUAAUAAUCAUCCUCUGACAUCAGUUUGGAUGCUUGGAUUAGUUUCCUCUCAAAAAAAUUGAAAGAAAAAAAUAUAUAGGAAUUUUUGUUUCUUUAAAAAUAAUAACUAGUUUUAGUUAUUUUAACACCAUUUUUAUGGUGGCAAUCUUGUAAUUCUUUAAUUCCUUAGGUCAACAAGAUAAAUGUAUGCCUAAAGACCCAGAAACAGAAAAUAUGAUCAAUGUUGUAAGUGAUCCAAGCAAUGGAAAUAACAAACAGAAUAAAAUAGAUUUUCUGAACAGAUAGCUCUGGUAGACUUUUUGCUAGUUUGCUGGAGAACUAAUAAACUUUUUUUUUUUUUCUUUUAAAAUAUUUCUCAUAGGAGAUUCUUAUGGGGAAAAUGUAGUCCCUCAAGAGACGGUAGCACAAGGAAAUGUUUGCCAUAUUUAGAUCUCCUUUCACUAAAAAAUGAAGAGGUCAUUUCAGGUCAAUCAUCCUGGGUUCUUUUCUUUAAGGGAAUGAGUCUCCAGCAUGGCUCUUUAUAUUAAAGGACUUCAUGGGCCUGAGUUAUAGCUAUUGGUAUAAUCACAGGUUUCAGAAAUAAGAAUAGUUAUUUCGUGUUUCUUUGUGAAUGGAGAAGGAAAAGGUCAUUCAGUGGAUGGUACUUCAAACACUUAAAAGGAAAGGUAUUUUACUGCUUACUUAGCUUUUUAUGUACUAUAUAGAAAGUACGCAUAAUGUCACACUGCUAUGUAGACGCAGAAGGAAAGACCCUUUUUUACUUUAUGAGAAAACUUGAGAUACCUCUGCGUUUCUUAUUUUGACAAUGAAACCAUAAGGUCUAUGAAAUCAUGGAUGAUAUGAAGAAGAUAAACAGUCCUUCCCUGUUAUUUCUAAUGUAAGAUUUAGUGAAGAUCAAAGUAAAUAACUGUGACUGAUUCAAUGCAAACAAACGAAAAUGUUCUUUUCACCCGGCCUAUUAACCUAUGGAAACUCAAUGCCAGGAAAGGGAUUGGAUUUUGAACUAUAGAUUUAAAACCAACAAAUUCAUGGAAAUAUAAAACCCACCCAAAGGUAUUAUAUAAAAACAGUGCUGAGAAAAUAUUUGAAUUUAUU